rnacentral:rRNA from 1 species
AUACGGAGGAUCCGAGCGUUAUCCGGAUUUAUUGGGUUUAAAGGGAGCGUAGGUGGAUUGUUAAGUCAGUUGUGAAAGUUUGCGGCUCAACCGUAAAAUUGCAGUUGAAACUGGCAGUCUUGAGUACAGUAGAGGUGGGCGGAAUUCGUGGUGUAGCGGUGAAAUGCUUAGAUAUCACGAAGAACUCCGAUUGCGAAGGCAGCUCACUAGACUGUUACUGACACUGAUGCUCGAAAGUGUGGGUAUCAAACAGGAUUAGAUACCCUGGUAGUCCACACAGUAAACGAUGAAUACUCGCUGUUUGCGAUAUACAGUAAGCGGCCAAGCGAAAGCAUUAAGUAUUCCACCUGGGGAGUACGCCGGCAACGUUGAAACUCAAAUGAAUUGACGGGG